UCUGCUGGCACCGACCAGCGCCCAGCCGUCCGGGGAUCUGUGCCAGAACGUUCGAUGCCUGCCCGGGGACGUGUGCCGAGUGAUCCAGGCCUGCAACAGCCCCGUGUGUCCUCCCCGCCCCCUCUGUGUGCCCUGUGUCCCGAGGGGCAUUGAUCACGUGUGCAACAGAAACAACUACAUCUACACAGUUCUCGUUGGCCAACAGACCCAACCACGAGCUUUGCUAGAACGUAAAUGCGUCCCCUACCACCCCAACAGCUGCCCGUACGGUUCUGCCUGUGUUCCUGACGGUGCCGGAUCCGGCAACUGCUGCUACAGACGACCUCCCCCGGGGUUACCAGCCAUCAACCGCGACCCCGUCUGCCCAGUGCUGGGCAAGCCUGGCUUCUGUCCCCUUGUCCCACCCUACAUCCCCCCUCACUGCCCGCCCGCAGUCAACUACUGCCGUAACGAUUACGACUGCCCGGGGAUCCUCAAAUGUUGCAGGACAGAGUGUGGAGGGUACGACUGCAACAUCUACCAGUAAACUACACGUUGUACUACACACAAGGCCGUGAUAGACUCCAAGGUGCAAGGAUAGUUUUAUUUUAAUC